GGUGCUGAAGUUGGGCGGAUGGAAGAAAAACACCGCCGAUGGAUAUUAUACGGCAGGAUGUAUCUUUACUGUGCGAUCUAACAAGCAUCAACAUAAAACACAUAUAAAGUAACCACUAUAGACGACUGACAACCAGAAUUAAAAGGAUGGUAUAUUGUUGCUCCCCUUGCGAUCAACACUGCAAAUGAUCCACCCACUGAGUCCCUGAACUCUGCUGAGACCCAGGCAGAAACCGCUGUCCUCCUUAUCAGUAACUUCCUGGCCCUCCGUCAGGGAUGGUGAGAACAACAAUACUACCCUGUAGACACACCCUAGUGCUUUACUUCUGAACCCACCCAAGUUCAACCAACCACUUACCUCAACGCCAUGAUUCACCUGCCUGGUCUGUCUGUGGAAGCAACUGACUAAUUUUUAUGCCCCGAAGUUUAAGCGGAGUUGAUAUGAGAAAACGGCAGCAGCCACACAUUGAAGGACCUCCCCAGGCGCCUGGCCAUCCAAGGCCCAACAACUGCUGCAUGUGCUGGUGUGGUUGUUGUAAAUGCCUCUGGUACGUCAAUCCUCGCUUUCUGUUUACUUUCCCCUUGUCUCCUCCAUAUUCAAAGGGCUAUGCCCUUUAGAAUUAUGAGAGAUUGUGUUUCGAUUUUCCUGAAAUAUAGACAGAAAAAAGCACCUGGUCAUAUUACCUUCAAGACCACAUCCCUUUCAAUGUUUUUAUAUUAGUGGGGGAAAGUAUUGUAGACUGUAGUUAUCAGCACUUUAGGCCAAAAUAACCAAUACUCGUACAUUUGUAAUUAUUGUCGUUAUUCACCCAAUGUUUAAGCUGAUCACAUUGUUUAGAAAUUAAAGUAAUGAAUGCUGAAAGACUGUAGGUCACCAGGUAAAACAUGACUUGAUGCGUGAAGUCUUUUUCCCCUCAUAGUUUUCAGUUCUAUGGGUGCAUAAACAUUGUUUAUCAGACCAAUUAUCUUGAUGCCUGGGAAAAGGGUGAGUUUAGGAUAGGAGACCCCCAUAUACAACUAUAUGAUUACUACUUUUCACGUUUCUGUGGAGAAAACGGCAGGGGCGCAUUAGCUUUUAAUAAUCAGCAUUUUCAAAAUUCUGACCAUCAAAAAACUCUGGAUUUUAACCAUUUCACCAGCAUUUUGUGUUUGUUUGCUUCAAUAGAGUUAUCAGGGGUGUGCAUCUAUAGUUUUUCUUCACACAAAAUAAAUUAAUGCAACACAUUUGGUAGAAAAUAGCAUGGUUUUCAUCAGAUGACUACAAAAGUGCAACAUUAUUUGGCUAUCAGCCACACAAGUAAAUUAGCUUACAAUGAAAAAGUAUGGUAUUUUUUGCAGUUCAACGUCUAGUUUUGAUUUAUAUUUCAUUGAGUUGUCAACUAACAUUAUCCAAUGUGAAAUCAAGAAAGA